GAUGAACGCUGGCGGCGUGCCUAAUACAUGCAAGUCGAGCGAACAGACGAGGAGCUUGCUCCUCUGACGUUAGCGGCGGACGGGUGAGUAACACGUGGAUAACCUACCUAUAAGACUGGGAUAACUUCGGGAAACCGGAGCUAAUACCGGAUAAUAUAUUGAACCGCAUGGUUCAAUAGUGAAAGACGGUUUUGCUGUCACUUAUAGAUGGAUCCGCGCCGUAUUAGCUAGUUGGUAAGUUAACGGCUUACCAAGGCAACGAUGCGUAGACGACCUGAGAGGGGGAUCGGCGACACUGGAACUGAGACACGGUCAAGACUCCUACGGGAGGCAGCAGUAGGGAAUCUUCCGCAAUGGGCGAAAGCCUGACGGAGCAACGCCGCGUGAGUGAUGAAGGUCUUCGGAUCGUAAAACUCUGUUAUUAGGGAAGAACAAAUGUGUAAGUAACUAUGCACGUCUUGACGGUACCUAAUCAGAAAGCCACGGCUAACUACGUG
rnacentral:rRNA from 1 species